CCUACGGGUGGCAGCAGUGGGGAAUAUUGCACAAUGGGCGGAAGCCUGAUGCAGCAACGCCGCGUGCGGGAUGACGGCCUUCGGGUUGUAAACCGCUUUCGCCUGUGACGAAGCGUGAGUGACGGUAAUGGGUAAAGAAGCACCGGCUAACUACGUGCCAGCAGCCGCGGUGAUACGUAGGGUGCGAGCGUUGUCCGGAUUUAUUGGGCGUAAAGGGCUCGUAGGUGGUUGAUCGCGUCGGAAGUGUAAUCUUGGGGCUUAACCCUGAGCGUGCUUUCGAUACGGGUUGACUUGAGGAAGGUAGGGGAGAAUGGAAUUCCUGGUGGAGCGGUGGAAUGCGCAGAUAUCAGGAGGAACACCAGUGGCGAAGGCGGUUCUAUGGGCCUUUCCUGACGCUGAGGAGCGAAAGCGGGGGGAGCGAACAGGCUUAGAUACCCUGGUAGU
rnacentral:rRNA from 1 species